GGUUGUAGCUCAGUGGUAGAGCACUCACCUCAUGUGUGUGAGGCACUGGAUUCAAUUCUCAGCACCA
rnacentral:tRNA from 1 species